rnacentral:rRNA from 1 species
UACGUAGGGGGCAAGCGUUGUCCGGAUUUAUUGGGCGUAAAGAGCGUGUAGGCGGCCAUACAGGUCCGUUGUGAAAACUGGAGGCUUAACCUCCAGACGUCGAUGGAAACCGUAUGGCUAGAGUCCGGAAGAGGAGAGUGGAAUUCCCGGUGUAGCGGUGAAAUGCGCAGAUAUCGGGAAGAACACCCGUGGCGAAGGCGGUUCUCUGGGACGGUACUGACGCUGAGACGCGAAAGCGUGGGGAGCGAACAGG